rnacentral:rRNA from 1 species
GACAGAGGAGGCAAGCGUUGUUCGGAAUCACUGGGCUUAAAGCGCGUGUAGGCGGCUUCGUAAGUGUCUUGUGAAAUCCCACGGCUCAACCGUGGAAUGGCUGGGCAUACUGCGAGGCUUGAGGCAGGUAGGGGUCACUGGAACUCUAGGUGGAGCGGUGAAAUGCGUAGAUAUCUAGAGGAACGCCCGGGGCGAAAGCGGGUGACUGGGCCUGUCCUGACGCUGAGACGCGAAAGCGUGGGGAGCAAACGGG